UACGGGGGGGGGCAAGCGUUGUUCGGAAUUACUGGGCGUAAAGGGCUCGUAGGCGGCCAACUAAGUCAUACGUGAAAUCCCUCGGCUUAACCGGGGAACUGCGUCUGAUACUGGAUGGCUUGAGAUUGGGAGAGGGAUGCGGAAUUCCAGGUGUAGCGGUGAAAUGCGUAGAUAUCGGGGAGGAAUACCAGUGGCGAAGGCGGGCUUCCUGGCCUGUUCUUGACGCUGAGGCGCGAAAGCUAGGAUAGCAAACGGG
rnacentral:rRNA from 1 species